AUUCUCAUACUAGAGCUAUUGAGAUUAAUAUCAAAGUUCACGUAUUUUAAUUAUCAUAUUUUUAGAUUAUUAAGCAUAUAUUUUCAUUUUAACAUUUUAUUUUCAUAUUCACGUCACGCCGCGCCGUGUAUACAUUUACGAAUGAACCCAUAUUGAUUUUGAUGCGAACAUUUGAAUUAUAAAAUGUCUUUACGGUACUUACUGAUAUCAUUACCUGUUUUACCAGCUUAUCUGAUAUUCUUGAUGUGCUUAGUAAUUUACAAAUAUAUAAUAUUUGCAAUAUUAAAGAUGAAGUAUAAUAAAAACCUAAGUCCCAUUGAGAGCAUCGAUUCUUUUUUUACUUUGGGUGAGUUUCAAGAUAAUUUCUCUAAUAUUUUAAUUACUAUGGAAACUGAUAUAAAAGAAAAAAGUUUACAAGAAAGGAUAAUAAAACAUUUUGAAAGAACAAUUAUAAAAAAUACCAACCAUUUCAGAAAAAUUCAUAGCUCUGUACACAGCUAUAUGGGUUUCUCAUUUUUAUUAAGAGAAGAAAUUCAAGCAGCUGAUUUUGUGAAUAUUAUAGAUGUGAAUGAAGAUAGUUAUGAAUAUUUGAACCAUUUUAUAUAUGAAUAUUGUAUGAAACCACUACCUAAACAUAAUAAGUUACUUAUGGACGCGACUAUUCUAAAAUGUAGUAACAAUUGGAAAAUGAAGAAUAACUUUAGAAUAGAUCAAAUACCUGUACUGUUUAGAAUUCAUCAUAUUUUGGGUGACGGUUUAUCAAUAAUGAAUCUGUUUAUUCAACUAUUCGGUGAUGAUAAAUUAGUGAUAGAUGAAGUUAUUGGAGAAUUUCAUAAUAGGCAUAAAUACAACAAUUUCUGGAUGAGAUUAUUGGAAGACGUUUAUUCCUUUCUAAUAUUACCUGGUUUCAUGAUUUGUGAAGUAAUAAGACGAUGCAUGAAUAAUAGAGUGUUCAUUGGUAGCACCGGAUCUGGUAAACAAUAUUUUGCCAAGAAAGUUGGAGAUGAUACAAUGUCCUUACAGAAAAUUAAAGCUUUGAAAAAGAAAAUUGGGAACUGUCGAUUCACAGAAAUUUUAAUUACAGCCAUUUCGGCUAGUUUAUGUGACUAUUUUAGAAAGAAAAAUGGUGUAAUUCCUAAAACAGUAGCAGCCGUUGAGGCCGUAGUCCAAGAAAUGGUAAACUUAAACAAAAAUGGUCUACCAGAAUUGAAAAAUCAAUUUAAAUUUUUUCCAUUUGAAAUUCCAAUUGAGAUCGGAAGUGACUCAAUGUUGAAGAGAUUAAACGCUGUUAGAAAAUAUACAAGAUCACCAGACUCGACAGUAAUUUUCAUGGUUAGUGUAAAAUAUUUUUAUGUAACUAUUACAGCAUAGUGCGUAAUUAGUGAGCAUGUUAUUUGUUUCUCCCCUUAUAAACAAUUAUGAUGAAUUAUCAAAUACAAAAAUAGCAGUUGAAUUACUUGCUAUGCUACCAGGCGAUAAUGCAACGCGUCGUAAUGGAAUUCCGAAUAACCUCAACAGAUAUCCCAAAGAAAGUAAUCUGAGUGUUUUGGUGGUCAUACCAUAUCGUCUAAUCAAGUUUGCCGCAAAUAGUAUCAAAAUAAAAGGGAGCGCCUAUUAACUACUUAAUUUAAAUAAAAUGUAGCUUCAUCUGAAAAUAGUAUAUUUAGUGGAAAUACGUUAUUCCCAUCACAGCGACUCAUAAUUUACUCAAAAUUGUAUACACCUGUCAUAGUCAUCUUCCGAAAGCUUUUAGACAAGUUUUAGUAUUGUGCGCAUGCGCAAACAAAAUGACCGGCAGCAAUAGCUAUUUCUGAACGCUAUGCCGAGUGGUCUCAAGUUGCAUUCAGAGGGAGUUCUGUCGGUGAUUAUGUGUUGCGAAAACGAUUGUUGAGCGUUUAAAGAGCAAAGCAAAAUGUCUACUCUGCGAAGAAACUAUUGUUGUUAUGAAAGAGUACAAUAUACAGAAGGCAUUAUGAGAUAAAACAUGCUGCAAAAUACAACGAUUUUACUGGAAAUAUACGAAAAGACAAAGUGAAAGAAUUGAACGGUAAGUUAAAGUGUCAACAAAACUUUUUUCGCGAAGUAAAUAACGAGUCCAAAAUAUCAGUAAAAGCCACUUUUAUUGUGUCCAAGAUUUUUAUAACACUGAAACCGUUCUAAGAUGAGGAGCUGGUUGAAGGAUGUUUGAAAAAAGGGGCAAAAGUGGCAUUACCAGAGAAAAAAAUAUUACUUCGAAAAUUAGACUGCGUCUUAUGAUAGUAGCCAGGAAAGCAGAAAAAAUUGCCUUACAUAUUAAGAGUACUAUUCACUUGUAAUCGAUGAAAGUACUGAUACUUCUGACACUGCUCAGCUUUGUAUUUUUGUACGUGGAGUCCAUGAAAAUUUUGAAGUAAAAGAAGAACUUCUAGUUUUAGUUUCUAUGAAAAACUCAUCUAAAGUAUGUGAUAUUAAUCGUGAAGUAAACAACAUGCUGAUAAAGUUUAAUUAAACUACUACAUGGCAAAUAAUAGGGAGCAUAUAAUGAGGUUAGUAUUAAUGUAGUGAAUUUUCUUCGUGCCAGAGCUCUCAGUCAUUGUCAGUUGCGAGAAUUCUUAUCUCUCUUAGAUUCUCAGUAUGGCAAUGUUAUUUAUUCUACACAAGUUUGUUGGCUACGUGAGGGAAAAAUGCUAAAACGAGUAUAUGAUUUGCGAAAAGAAAUAAAACUCAACUCAACUAGCAAGCAGAUUUGGAAAACAAGGAGUGGGUAAAUAAUUUAUACUUUCUAAUUGAUAUAAUCCGACUUAAUGAGCUAAACACCAAGCUUCAAGGUGAAGAUAACAUGAUCAACAACAUGUUUUACACGGUAAAAUUAUUUGAUGUAAAACUAGGGCAGUCACAGCUUAAAACUGCUCUGCUGACAAAUUUUCCAACAAUUAACAAUCUUGCUGAACAUUUGGAAUCCAACGUUGAUGUGGUUAAAAAUGCUUCUCUUGUAGAGAAUUUUCAAAAUGAGUUUAAACAACGAUUUCAA